GAAGUGCGAUAAGCAAUGCGAAUUGCAGAAUUCCGCGAAUCAUCAGAUCUUUGAACGCAAAUGGCGCUGGAGGGAUAUCCUUCCAGCAUGUCUGUUUCAGUGUCUGAGAGGUUUCAUAUAAAUCUUAAUGUGAUUGAAGGGAUAGUGAAAUGUUUGUGCAAACUUUCAUCUCGUCUCAUCUCUUCUCUCAUGAAAGAUGCGUGAGUGGAUCUUUCGGUCCAAUGAAGUGGUCACAUCACUCGCAUGUGAUUUCAUUGGAGAAAUCACCGAAUUAUCCGUAUACUCACUGUAUCAUAUAUAUAUAACAAAAAACUUCCAUACCCUGCAUCUGAGAUAGGCAAGAUCACCCGCUGAACUUAA
rnacentral:misc_RNA from 1 species